rnacentral:tmRNA from 1 species
CCCCUUGAUCGUCGGCCCGCGGGGGCCUACAUUCGUCUCGUUCCUUCGGGGACUAUGGUGAUAAACGCGCCCGUAAUAAGCGGAUCGGACCCGGGGGCGGUACCCGGCGGCUCCACCAAACACCCUCAUUGGGGGAUCUUGGGGCCGAAACAGGAUCGACGGACGUCUAAAGGGGUUAGCUUUUGCCCGGUGAGAUACCACCGUUAUCGGUUCAAGCUUUAUAGUUGCCAAUGACAACAAAGCUCCGGUCGCGCUCGCUGCGUAAGCAGUGCGCAAGACCAAAACCUUAAGCCCUUGCGCCUAGCAGCGUAAGGCGGGGUCCGCAGGCACCUGGCAACAGAAGCCUGCACC